rnacentral:rRNA from 1 species
GUCAAAGGAGAGAUCCGCAGGAAGAGGGGUUCGCGUCCCAUUAGCUAGUUGGCGGGGCAACGGCCCACCAAGGCGACGAUGGGUAGCCGAGCUGAGAGGCUGAUCGGCCACACUGGAACUGAGACACGGUCCAGACUCCUACGGGAGGCAGCAGUGGGGAAUAUUGGGCAAUGGGCGCAAGCCUGACCCAGCAACGCCGCGUGAGGGAAGAAGGUCUUCGGAUUGUAAACCUCUGUCCUAUGUGACGAAGGAAGUGACGGUAGCAUAGGAGGAAGCCCCGGCUAACUACGUGCCAGCAGCCGCGGUAAUACGUAGGGGGCGAGCGUUGUCCGGAAUUACUGGGCGUAAAGGGUGCGUAGGUGGCACUUUAAGUUGGAUGUGAAAUCCCCGUGCUUAACAUGGGAGCUGCAUCCAAUACUGGAGGGCUAGAGUGCAGGAGAGGUAAGCGGAAUUCCUAGUGUAGCGGUGAAAUGCGUAGAUAUUAGGAGGAACACCAGUGGCGAAGGCGGCUUACUGGACUGUAACUGACACUGAGGCACGAAAGCGUGGGGAGCAAACAGGAUUAGAUACCCUGGUAGUC